UCUCUUCCCUAUUUUCUGUCUCAUCAGUCAUCUCUCUUGAUUAUCUCCCAGACUCCCUCUAUCUACAACCCAUAACCUAACCCUUCAUCUCUCUCUUAUUUUCUGUCUCGUCUCUCUCUACAACUCAUAACCUACCUAAUCCUUUAUCCCUCUCAUUUUUUCUGUCUCAUCUCUCUCGUAUUCUCUCUCUCUCACUCUCUCUACAACCCAGAAACCACCUAACCCUUCCUUCCACCCAAUCCAAAACCAAGCCAAACAUCCCUACUCACUCUCUCUCAUUUCAUUUCGCCUCUCAUCUGCCUUCACUCAGUCUCAGACUCUCCCUCUCUUUCUCGGAUUUGAAGCUCAGCAGCCACCCACCGUCUAGCAAUCUGACUCCGACGAACUAUCUCCACUCCGGCCACCACCACACCUCAUGGCUUCAUCCCCACCUCCGGUUCUCUCCAGUGAUUCUCUGUGUGUGUGGGAUUUCGAAUUGAGGUUAGGUUUUUGAAUUGGGGCUUAGGGUUUCGAAUUGGGGGCUCGGGUCAGGAGGAGGUCCCUCUCUUCACUUUGCUUCUUUCUCGACCAUAAAUCUUUCACUGAUUCACUAUCACUAUGUCUCUGAUUUCAAUUUGGAUUAAUGCAGGUUCGGAUGAUUUCAAUAUUAAUCUAAGACGAUUUGGAUUCUGAUGAUGUUCGGUUUCGGGAAAUUCCGAAAUACCGAAAAUAUUUCGGGAAUCCCGAAAUUUCGGUUCGGGAUCGGUCAUGAGAUUUACGUCCCGAAAAUUUUCGGUUCGGGAUUUGAUAUGCCAUUUUUGGUUCGGUAUCCCAUACCGAACCAGCCCUAACUAGAC
rnacentral:lncRNA from 1 species